UGGGGAAUUUUGGACAAUGGGCGCAAGCCUGAUCCAGCCAUGCCGCGUGAGUGAAGAAGGCCUUCGGGUUGUAAACCUCUUUCAGCAGGGAAGAAGCGAAAGUGACGGUACCUGCAGAAGAAGAGCCGGCUAACUACGUGCCAGCAGCCGCGGUAAUACGUAGGAGGCGAGCGUUAUCCGGAUUUACUGGGCGUAAAGCGCGUGCAGGCGGAUUGGAGAGUUGGAUGUGAAAGCUCCCGGCUUAACUGGGAGAGGUCGUUCAAUACUUCCAGUCUUGAGUGCAGUAGAGGGAAGUGGAAUUCCGGGUGUAGUGGUGAAAUGCGUAGAUAUCCGGAGGAACACCAGUGGCGAAAGCGGCCUCCUGGACCACUUCUGACGCUCAGACGCGAAAGCUAGGGUAGCGAACG
rnacentral:rRNA from 1 species